CAUUUUCUAAACUGUUGCCUGGUCGAACGAAAAACCUUCACCUCGUUUGCCCAAAACCCACAGUUUGCGGCUUGAAUCCCACCGUUGUUAUAAUAUUCUGCCGGCAAUUAAAUGACGGCUAAAGUUUCCAUAGUGGACGAUGUGCUCCUGUGACGUCCGCUUGGGUCUUAAAGCGAAUACAUGUGAUUUUGUAUCGCUGUGGCCAAUGCUCGUCUGUGCCACUCAGGACAAAAUAAACAGGAUUAUGUGUCCUUCUCAAACCUACUGCUGUAUUUCCAUCUGUGACAGCAGGACCGUCCUCCUCUUCCUCCUCCUCUUCCACCUCCUCCUCCUCCUCCGCCCGGCACCAACUUGCUUUUCUGCCACACAGAAUUUUGACAAGAGAGAGAGCAUUUACCAUAAACAGAAUUCAUUUACCUGAUUAUUGUUUCUAAAGUUGUAACAUGUAUCUUUUAUCCUUCCAUUAAACCAGGGGUCCCCAAGCUACGGCCCGCGGGCCGAAUACGGCCCGCCAGCAUCCAAAAUCCGGCCCGCGGGAAGUCCCAAGGACAGAUUUCAAAAAUGUGGUCAUGUGACUAUCCCAGGAUAUGGCUUACCCAAAAUGGCAGCAUGUCAGCAUCCUGGAAGGACGACCUCCGGCAUCAACAUGCCACGACCACGUCACACUUUUUUUUGCCACUAAUGCAAAUUUUUAAGUCAUUCAACAAUUGUAUAUUUUUAAUUCCUUGUCAAAUAUUACAAAUUAACUGUUCUUAAUGUAAUUAAUAAUAAUAUAACCAUCACCUAAUUUAUAUCAAAUAAGAGUAGGCUAAGAAAAUAGGGCUAUCUGGCUUUUACUCUUAAAGCAGUCGUGUCAAAAUCGUUUUCAUUGAGGGUCAUAUCACAGUUAUUGUUGCCCUCAGAGGGCCGCUUGUCACAGUGAAUAAUGAAUAUUCAUUUGUAUACACAAAACAUAUAUUUAAUUGCCGUUUGAUCAUUACAUAUUUUUUUACGUAUGCUGUAAAAAACAAAUCUAUAGAUUUUACUGUGAAAAUAACUGUCUCAUAAAAUUUGCUGUGUUAUUUUUUUACAGCAUACAAUACUGCUGUAAAUCAGAGGUGUCCAACUAAUUUUAGCUCAGGGGCCACAUGGAGGAAAAUCUAUUCCCAAGUGGGUCGCACCGAUAAUAUCAUGUCAUAAUAACUUAAAAAGAAAGACAACUUCAGAUAGUUUUCUUUGUUUUACU